rnacentral:lncRNA from 1 species
GGAGCUACGUGCUCAUUUUUUAAUAACCGAAAGAGUUAACAAGUACAAACUUGACAGUAAUUAACAAGACGAAAAGGAAAGGAACUAACUGACUUUGAUUAAGUCUUUCGACGCGUCGGUGUCAUUUGAAGAAGAAAUUGACAACGAGGAGCUUACCUGGUCUACCUUCACGCGGCGACGAAGUUGGUAUGCAGCUGAAACCUGACACACAUGGAUGUCAGGUGGAAGAGGCCCAAUGAUGCUGCCCACUCCACUCUACUCAGCACCAAAUAGUCAUGUAAACCAUUUGGGCAGAUACUUGAGAGAUCACCACAACACUCCUGAAGAGGACGACGAGACCAUGAGUAAGGAGGAGUGUGAAGGCACCGUGGCCCCCAAGCUGGACUCCACCCUUAAUCCCGAUGGACAACGCCCCCUCCCAGACCACACCACUUCCCCUGAUGAUGCUCUGUACAGCAGACAGAGGUUGGGGAGAAAUCAGGGACAUGAACACAGUCACACACUUUCUCAGCCUGAGCCAAAGUACUGUCCAUACCAGCCACCUCAUGGCUUGCCACCCGGGUACAGCCAGCCAACUCCAUUCCCCAGUCAGGCUGAAGGCUCCUGGCUUCACCCCAGCUUUGCCAGCAGCUGGUCUGGCUAUCCAAACAGUCUGCCAUCCUGCUUUUCCCCUAAAGAUUACCCCAGCUACUCUGGAGAGAGUUCUUACUCCAGGGACAAAUUCAUGUCCCUGCCAGGCAGAUAUAGUGCAAGUAUGAGCAAUCUGGAGCAGCCCCACUCUCUGCACUCCAACCCACCACUGGGCAACUUGUAUCACCAUACGCUCUCUCCAUACUACUGCUCACCUCAGGGAGUGCCCUGUUGCGCCCAAUGCCCCCCAGAACCCUUCAGCAGGGGCCCGGUGGUUCACCAAAACUUCAGGCUGGGGCAUCAACCAGCUUACAACCAGUACUGUGAGUCUUGUUCUUUUAAUUAACCUUAGCUGAGGGGUGUACAUAUUUCAUAAAGUAGAUAUAUUAAAAAUUGUGAGUAAUGCAUUUA